rnacentral:rRNA from 1 species
AACGAACGCUGGCGGCGUGGAUAAGACAUGCAAGUCGAACGGGACCAGGUUUGUAGUAAUACCGACUUGGUUCAGUGGCGCACGGGUGCGUAACACGUGAGCAAUCUGCCGGGAAGUGGGGGAUAGCUCGCCGAAAGGCGAAUUAAUACCGCAUGUGGCCAUCCUUCGAGGGGAGGAAAAGCCAACGCAGCAAUGCGCUUCCUGAUGAGCUCGCGGCCUAUCAGCUCGAUGGCGGGGUAAUGGCCCACCAUGGCUUUGACGGGUAGCUGGUCUGAGAGGACGACCAGCCACACUGGAACUGAGAUACGGUCCAGACACCUACGGGUGGCAGCAGUCGAGAAUUUUUCACAAUGGGGGCAACCCUGAUGGAGCGACGCCGCGUGGAGGAUGAAGGCCUUCGGGUUGUAAACUCCUGUCAUGCGGGAACAAGCAAGUGAUAGUACCGCAAGAGGAAGAGACGGCUAACUCUGUGCCAGCCGCCGCCGUAAGAC